GAUGAACGCUGGCGGCGCGCCUAACACAUGCAAGUCGAACGGUUAAGGCGCCCUUUCGGGGCGCGUAUAGAGUGGCGAACGGCUGAGUAACACGUGGGCAACCUGCCCCCCGCACCGGGACAGCCUCGGGAAACCGUGGGUAAUACCGGGUACUCCGCCACCCCCGCAUGGGGGAGGCGGGAGAGCGUAUGCGGCGGGGGAUGGGCCCGCGGCCUGUUAGCUAGUUGGCGGGGCAACGGCCCACCAAGGCGAUUAUGGGUAGCUGGGUUGAGAGACCGACCAGCCAGAUUGGGACUGAGACACGGCCCAGACUCCUACGGGAGGCAGCAGUGGGGAAUCUUGCGCAAUGGGGGCAACCCUGACGCAGCGACGCCGCGUGCGGGACGAAGGCCUUCGGGUCGUAAACCGCUUUCAGCAGGGACGAGGCCGCGAGGUGACGGUACCUGCAGAAGAAGCCCCGGCUAACUACGUGCCAGCAGCCGCGGUAAUACGUAGGGGGCGAGCGUUAUCCGGAUUCAUUGGGCGUAAAGCGCUCGUAGGCUGCCCGCUAGGUCCGGGGUCAAAUCCGGGGGCUCAACCCCCGCACGCCCCGGAUACCGGCGGGCUUGAGUCGGGUAGGGGAAGGCGGAAUUCCAGGUGUAGCGGUGGAAUGCGCAGAUAUCUGGAAGAACACCGGUGGCGAAGGCGGCCUUCUGGGCCUCGACUGACGCUGAGGAGCGAAAGCUGGGGGAGCGAACAGGAUUAGAUACCCUGGUAGUCCCAGCCGUAAACGAUGGACGCUAGGUGUGGGGGGGAGAUGCCCUCCGUGCCGCAGCCAACGCAUUAAGCGUCCCGCCUGGGGAGUACGGCCGCAAGGCUAAAACUCAAAAGGAAAUUGACGGGGGCCCGCACAAAGCAGCGGAGCAUGUGGCUUAAAUUCGAAGCAACGCGAAGAACCUUACCAGCGCUUGACAUUAUGGUGAAGCCGGGGAGACCCGGUGGCCGAGAGGAGCCAUAACAGGUGGUGCAUGGCUGUCGUCAGCUCGUGUCGUGAGAUGUUGGGUUAAGUCCCGCAACGAGCGCAAACCCCCGUCGCGUGUUGCCAGCGGUUCGGCCGGGCACCCGCGCGAGACCGCCGGCGUCAAGCCGGAGGAGGGUGGGGACGACGUCAAGUCAUCAUGCCCCUUAUGCGCUGGGCCGCACACGUGCUACAAUGGCCGGCACAAACGGGCUGCCGCGCCGCAAGGCGGAGCGAAAUCCCCAAAGCCGGCCCCAGUUUCGGACCGGGGGCUGCAACCCGCCCCCGCGAAAGUUCGGAGUUGCUAGUAUUCGCGAAUCAGCUCGCCGCGGUAAAUGCGUUUCCCGGGCCU
rnacentral:rRNA from 1 species